AAUAAUUCCGUAGAUGGAAGGGAAUUAUUCCUCCCCUUUUUGGAAUUGAUUUGAUUAAUUAGGGAUUUGAUUUAUUAGAGUAAAUCAAAUUCCUAAUUGUGAUAGGUAUCAAAUCAAAUCCUGAUUCAAUUAGGUAACUCCUCAUUUAAUUGGGGAUCGUGGUAAUUAACCAAAUCAAUUCUCAACCUAAUUAGGUAACGUUCAAUUUAAUUGGGUAAUUCCCAAUUAAAUUGAGUAACUCCCAAUUAGGUUGAUUAAUUCCCAAUUUGGUCAAAUAAUCCCCAAAUAGUAGGAAUUAUUUGACCUAGGGUUUGAUUUAAUUAGAUUCCCA
rnacentral:lncRNA from 1 species